rnacentral:misc_RNA from 1 species
GAUGAAGAACGCAGUGAAAUGCGAUACGUAAUGUGAAUUGCAGAAUUCAGUGAAUCAUCGAAUCUUUGAACGCAUAUUGCGCUCUCUGGUAUUCCGGAGAGCAUGCUUGUUUGAGUAUCAGUAAACACCUCAACUUCCAUAUCUUUUUUGAAAUGGGAGUUGGACUUGAGUGAUCCCAACGCUUUUCCUCACCGAAAAGUGGCGGGUUACUCGAAAUGCAGGUGCAGCUGGACUUUUCUCUGAGCUAUAAGCAUAUCUAUUUAGUCUGCCUAAAAAACAGAUUAUUACCUUUGCUGCAGCUAACAUAAAGGAGAUUAGUUCUUGUGCUGACUGAUGCAGGAUUCACAAAGACAGGCUUCGGCCGACUUUGUAAACUCGAUCUCAAAUCAAGUAAGACUACCCGCUGAACUUAAGCAUAUCAAUAAGCGGAGGA